rnacentral:rRNA from 1 species
UUUAUCAAAAACAUCGCCUCUUGCAAAAACAACGAAUAAGAGGUCCCGCCUGCCCGGUGACUUAGUUUAACGGCCGCGGUAUUUUGACCGUGCGAAGGUAGCGCAAUCACUUGUCUUUUAAAUGGAGACCUGUAUGAAUGGCAUCACGAGGGCUUAACUGUCUCCUUUCUUAGGCCAAUGAAAUUGAUCUCCCCGUGCAGAAGCGGGGAUAGUUACAUAAGACGAGAAGACCCUAUGGAGCUUUAGACACUAAGACAGCUUACGUCAAGAAUACCCACAACACGGGAACGAACUAGGUUUCCCCUGUCCUAAUGUCUUCGGUUGGGGCGACCCUGGGGAGAUAAAUAACCCCCAUGAGGAAUGGAAACGUGUUUCCAAAACCAAGAGCUACCGCUCUAAGAAGCAGAACUUCUGACCAACUAGACCCGGCUAAGGCCGAUCGACGGACCGAGUUACCCUAGGGAUAACAGCGCAAUCUCCUUUUAGAGACCCUAUCGACAAGGGGGUUUACGACCUCGAUGUUGGAUCAGGACAUCCUAAUGGUGCAGCCGCUAUUAAGGGUUCGUUUGUUCAACGAUUAAAGUCCUACGUGAUCUGAGUUCA